UUAUAAUUUAACAUCUGUAUAUUCUAUUGUGUGUUUACCACCCAAAGUCCAGUUUCCUUCAGCUUUGUGUGUGCUUUUUGAUGAUUUCUUUUGUCAUAUUGAACAUGAUUCAGUGAGGUAAAUUAGAAUAGGAAAAGAUAAAUUAUCAUUUAAAUGAUUAAGAAGUGAAAUUUUUUUCAAAGUCAUAUAUAUGGUUGUAUUUGUCUACGAUUUAUGCUUUCAUUUAUCAAGGAAUGUUUAUUGAGCAUCUUCUGUGUAGUAGGCAUUAUCUUAGGCUUUGGGAAUCAUAGAGAUGAACAAGACAGACAAUUCCCCAUACUCAUCAUUCUCACUGGGAGGGGAGGUUAGAGAGUAAACGUAAAGAAAAAAUAAUUUCUGAUAUCACUGACUUCCAUGAAGGAAAUGAAAUAGGGCGUUGCACAUAAAGAGCAUACGUUAGAAUGUUUUAGUCUGCAUUUAACAGAAAACUUCACUCAAACUGGUGUCAAUAGUAAGGAAUUAUAUUCUCUCACAAUUGGAAAGUGGGCUGGGACCAGGCUUGAUCGCAUCUGCAGUUUGAGAAUUUCAUCAGGGAUCUGGUUCCUUCUGUCUCUCCACCCUCUUUCCUCAGUAAGAAUUUUAUUAUAAGGUUUGCUUCCCCUCCUGAAUGCCUACCAGAAUAGACCCAACAUCUCAAAGAAGGAGGAGGAUUGUCUCUUUUUUUUCUCUGUUUUAGGAGCUAGGAGACCUUUUCCAGAAGUUCCUCAAACUAGACUAAAGCUACAGAGGAAUGCAGUUCCCGUGUUUGCUUUAGAUUCGUUGUAGAACUGAAGAGUUAUAUACCUUGACCACCAUAAAGAGUGGCUGCUAGGGGCAUACGGGUCAGCUUGCCAAAAUGAAAAUAUCUGUGUGUCAGUAGAUUCUUUGUAACCCAAGACUAAUACUGAACAAAGGAGAAAUAAUGAUUAGAGAAGGUGACAAGUAGAGCUUGAGUAAUGGAAUAUAUUUUAUUUAUUAACUGUAACUAUAAAUUUGUCAUUCACGUCUUAGGGUUUCAGCAUAUUAAAGCUUCUGUAUUAUACUUUUGUUUUCUUUCACAUGUUUUAAGUGCUAAAUAAUAACCGAAAUUAAAAUCAUAGGAUUUUAAAAAUUGAAAUGAAUCUUAGGGUUUUCUCUUUUAAAUCUAUUCACUUUUUAGAACUUUAGAAUGAAUAAAUGAAGUUAUCAAUUUGUGCUGGGCUUUAGGAGUCCUGAUUAAAAGUCCUUGAGAUAGACAUGUUUUUAUUCCUAUGUCCUUAAGCUUUUACAAUUUGGAGGACUUCAUUUCUCUUCUCACAAAAAGUGGAGAUGGUUCAAUAUUCGUUAGUGAAAGUGCUUAGCUCAGCCUGGAGUGCAUAGUGGAUGUUAAUAAAUGUUUGUUGACCAAAAUCUUUCAUAGCUAGAAUAUCCAUGCUCAAGAUUAAUUUAAGUGUCACUAAUUAUGUUAAGUAAAGAUGGUACAUCUUAAAUUGGCACUUGCUUUAUUUUUCACUCUUCUAGUCAUUCAUUUAUCCAACCAAUAUUUAUUGGGUAUUUACCAUAUGUCAGGCAUUGCAGGAUACAGAGAUAAGAAAGAUGUCAUCCCUGCUCAAGAACCCAAGUGGGGAGAACUAGCUAGGAUUAUGACAGCGUGGAUUUGCAGCAGGUACCCAGGUGUACUCAGGGUGAGAGCCUAACCCAGCCUUGGGUCCCCAACAGGGUUUGCGUUUGUAAAGGAACUUUGUGUAAUUAUGAAUUCCCAUCGGCUUUUCUGAUAGUUAUGGCCAUUGGCAGUGCACUGUAUUUGAAAAAGAAAUAAACUUUCAAGAAGUCUUGAGGCUCUUGUGUUUCAUUUUUAACAGGAGAUGCCCGAUUAAGGUGAAGGCGAGGGAUGGGAGCAUUGUUUUCCCUGCUGCUUUUAUCUUUAAAACCUGUUGAAAUCUAGAAUCAAAUCUUUUUGCUAGGGUGCCCCAUAGCACUCAAUAUUGUGUUUAGACAGCCCUUGUUAUUUUUAAUUGAAAUUUUAUUUCUCCA